rnacentral:tRNA from 1 species
GAGACUCGAACUCGCGACCCCGACCUUGGCAAGGUCGUGCUCUACCAACUGAGCUAUUCCCGCAUCGUCUUGGUGA